UACGUAGGUGGCAAGCGUUGUCCGGAUUUACUGGGUGUAAAGGGCGUGUAGGCGGGUAGGUAAGUUGGGUGUGAAAUACUGCGGCUCAACCGCAGGGUUGCAUUCAAAACUACUUAUCUUGAGUGUCGGAGAGGAAAGCGGAAUUCCUAGUGUAGCGGUGAAAUGCGUAGAUAUUAGGAGGAACACCAGUGGCGAAGGCGGCUUUCUGGACGAUAACUAACGCUGAGGCGCGAAAGCGUGGGGAGCAAACAGGAUUAGAUACUCGGGUAGUCCCUGAGCGGG
rnacentral:rRNA from 1 species